UGACAACUCAUCUCAAUCUGGCUGCUCCUC
rnacentral:piRNA from 1 species